rnacentral:rRNA from 73 species
ACGGGUGAGUAACGCGUGGGAACGUGCCUUCCGGUUCGGAAUAACCCUGGGAAACUAGGGCUAAUACCGGAUACGCCCUUAUGGGGAAAGGUUUACUGCCGGAAGAUCGGCCCGCGUCUGAUUAGCUAGUUGGUGGGGUAACGGCCUACCAAGGCGACGAUCAGUAGCUGGUCUGAGAGGAUGAUCAGCCACACUGGGACUGAGACACGGCCCAGACUCCUACGGGAGGCAGCAGUGGGGAAUAUUGGACAAUGGGCGCAAGCCUGAUCCAGCCAUGCCGCGUGAGUGAUGAAGGCCUUAGGGUUGUAAAGCUCUUUUAUCCGGGACGAUAAUGACGGUACCGGAGGAAUAAGCCCCGGCUAACUUCGUGCCAGCAGCCGCGGUAAUACGAAGGGGGCUAGCGUUGCUCGGAAUCACUGGGCGUAAAGGGCGCGUAGGCGGCGUUUUAAGUCGGGGGUGAAAGCCUGUGGCUCAACCACAGAAUGGCCUUCGAUACUGGGACGCUUGAGUAUGGUAGAGGUUGGUGGAACUGCGAGUGUAGAGGUGAAAUUCGUAGA